UACGUAGGGGGCAAGCGUUGUCCGGAUUUAUUGGGCGUAAAGCGCUCGCAGGCGGCCCCGAUGCGUCGUGCGUGAAACACCCCGGCUCAACUGGGGAGGGUCGUGCGAUACGGUCGGGCUUGAGGCCAGUAGGGGGAUGCGGAAUUCCGGGUGUAGUGGUGGAAUGCGUAGAGAGUCCGGAGGAACACCAGCGGCGAAGGCGGCAUCCUGGACUGGUACUGA
rnacentral:rRNA from 1 species